CCCUUAGAUGUUCUGGGCAGCACGCGCGCUACAAUGGUCUUCGCAAACGGAUGCAUUCUCGAAGGAGGAUGCCAAUCUUGGAAUCUAUGCCUUGGUCGGGACAGUUGCUUGCAAUUUUUCGACUCGGACCAGGAAUUCCUUGUAAUCGUGAUUCAUCACAUCACGAUGAAUACGUCCCUGCCCUUUGUACACACCGCCCGUCGCUCCUACCGAUCGAAGAGUUAGGUGAAUUGUUUUGAUCGAUAAGAUUUGACUAUGGUCAACUCUCGUUGUGAAAUUCUGUGAAUCUGACUGUUUAGAGGAAGGAAAAGUCGUAACA
rnacentral:rRNA from 1 species